rnacentral:lncRNA from 1 species
CUGGACUGAGAUUUUACUAUUCAAAAUUUUUAUUUGCUGUUCACUACUCUCUACUGACUUAAGCAUUAGAGAGUCUCCAUCGGAUACAAUUUCGGCCAGUGAGGACUUCUUUUACAAGUGCUCUUCUCUGAUGACAGGUGCAAUAGGGGAUUGGCCGCAACAUCUUGUAUUUAUUUUUUCUCUUAUAGUGAAACUUGCAUACCUUGUAGAGAUAAGCCUUGAGCUGAUCCAUGUUAUUUGAUUGUCUUUUGUGCAUUUCUUUUCUUUCUUCCUUCUGUGGUAUCUACAUCAUCACCAGCAUUUGCAAUCUUGGAUGGAGAUCCAUAUUUCACACUUGUGAGGGAUCCUCCCAACAAGUGGUAUUAGAGCACGUGGUUGUCCAGAUUUUGAUGAUGUUGAUCGAGGUUGAAGAAGAUGAAGAAGAUAAGCUCAAUCAAAGUAGAGAUCAACUAAUAUGAUGGG